GACUUAGCUUUUAGAGUUAGCCUACCGUGUUUUCUUGUAGUGACUUCGCUAUACUAACCGAGUGUCCAAGUCAUAAUUCCAGUUUUAUAUUAUUUGUCUACAUUUUAAAGUUUUUUUGGAGUGCUAUUUUUAAAGAUGCUUAUCAAAGUUAAAACUUUGACCGGUAAAGAGGUGAGUAUUAAUGAUUAAAGCUGUAAAAAAAAAUUUAAGUAGAUAUAACUAGGAUUAAAUUAUUUUUGAUAUGGAAGGACAUGAUAUAUCAGUAACCUAGUUGAAAUUGAAAAUAUUUCUGAAUUUAUUUACAAUCAUUGUUUCAGAUUGAAAUUGACAUUGAACCAACAGACAAGGUUGAAAGAAUCAAAGAACGAGUGGAAGAAAAGGAAGGCAUUCCACCUCAACAGCAGCGACUUAUUUUCAGUGGCAAACAAAUGAAUGAUGAAAAAACAGCAAGUGAUUAUAAAGUGGCUGGAGGAUCUGUCUUACAUCUUGUACUUGCACUAAGAGGAGGAUGUCUCUGAAAAAUGAAAGAAAUGUUUAACAAAUAAAUUUAAAAUUAAAUGCUUCAUCAGUCACAGAAUUUAAUGUUCAAACAAGAUUUGGUUGCUUUAAAAUGAUCCUUAAAAAUGUUAAGUUUUUAGUACUGCACUUUGAAACUGUUAAAAUGUAAAAAAAAAUACCUUUUUUUUUUUACCUCAAGCCAUAAUGAUUUCUUUAGAAAAAGAUUUUAUACAGUACUAAAACGUCUAAACUGGCUAUUAAAUGAUGUAAUAUAGACUGUACAAAAUAUUUUUGAACUUUUUUUAUUGUCAGUGUGAAAUCAACAAAGUUGAAUGGAUGACUACAUUAUUAUAAACACAAUUAUUAUUUAUUUUCUUCUGUUUUAUAUACUGACAAAAAGCAUUGAUAAAAAAGAAAAAUAUUUUCCAAUUACUUUAUAAGAACUAAAACUAUCAAAACAAGAAAGAAUUUUAUGCUCACAAAUUCCAGAAAUGAAUUAAUUAUAAAAUUUUCACAUUUAUUUAGCUCUCAAUACAUCAUCUUGUAAUGAUUUAUUCAUCACAAACUAGAAAUAAAUAUAAUACAGAAAACCUUUUUCUUAUUAGGUAUGAUUAGAUAAUAUUGAAGUGAUUGUUUGUUUGUUUAUUUUUGCUUAUUUUCCUUUUAAAUGUUUCAUUUAACUGAAUAAAUGACUGUUUAA